rnacentral:rRNA from 1 species
CCUACGGGAGGCAGCAGUGAGGAAUAUUGGUCAAUGGGAGGAAUCCUGAACCAGCCAUGCAGCGUGCAGGACGACGGCUCUACGAGUUGUAAACUUCUUUUGUACCGGGGUAAAAUGCUCCACGAGUAGGGUUUUGCAUGUACUGUAUGAAUAAGGAUCGGCUAACUCCGUGCCAGCAGCCGCGGUAAUACGGAGGAUCCGAGCGUUAUCCGGAUUUAUUGGGUUUAAAGGGAGCGUAGGUGGUUUUAUAAGUUAGUGGUGAAAGACUGAUGCUCAACCGUGAGACUGCCACUGAUACUGGCAGACUAGAGAACGGAUGCGGCAGGCGGAAUGUGUAGUGUAGCGGUGAAAUGCAUAGAUAUCACGAAGAACCCCGAUUGCGAAGGCAGCUUGCUAGGCCGUGUCUGACACUGAUGCACGAAAGCGUGGGGAUCGAACAGGAUUAGAUACCCUUGUAGUC